UCAACUUAAAAAAGAAUAAAUGAAGUUUGCACAUCAUGAAGAUGGUGAUGUAGGAGACCCCGGCCUCCGCCCCUUCACAAUGAAUCUAAAAACAUAGAAUUCAUAGAAACAAAGUAGAUUGGUGCUUCCCCAGGGCUGGCGGGGUGGGUGGGGGAAGAAAUGAGGAGAUAUUGGUCAAAGGGUAGAAACCUUCACUUAUAAGGUGAUUAAGUUCUGGGGAUCUAAUGUACAUCAUGGUGACUGUAGUUCAGGAUACUGUAUUAUGUCCUGGAAAGUCGUUAUGCAGGGAGAUCAUCAACACUCUCACCACAAUGACGGCAUGGUAGUGGUGAGAGGCAAGUGAUGUGUUAUCUCACCGUAUUGUGGUGAACCUCUCGCAAUAUACACAGGUGUCAGUCAUUACAUGGCACGCCUUAGACUUACAGCACAUUUUCUGUCAAUUGUAUCUCAUUAAAGCUGUAUGUUGGCUAUUUGGAUUUAAGUAAAAGAUAAAAAAUAAUAAUUUUUAAAAAUCUGUAAGGAGAAGCCAACUGAAAACAACAAUAGAGCCAGGUCACAGAGUAUCUAGAGGCUUACAGGUACUGAGAACAGCAGGAUGUUCGUGAUCCUUGAAGCUGGGUGCCGGGUACCACAAGAUCCAGCGUACCACCCCGGUUUACUUUAUGUGCAUUUGCAAUUUUACGUGAUCAAGAAAUCUUUUGACUAUUAGCAAAAAAUCCAAGUUGUCAUUCAAAAUAAUUACCUUGUCCCAUGCCAGUGACAACGCCCAAGAUGAAAGCAUAUGUGAAACUGUCAAAACCGUGUACAAGGCACCCAGCGAAACAUCUCCGGGAGCCGAUACUCACACCGCACGGGGUCGCCUAUGGAGAAGUAGCACGUGCAGCUACUUCCUACGACAGAGGACACACACAGGGACUUGCAGGAGUAGGUAGCAUCAAGGCCACCACACAGGUCUUGGCGUAGGAGAAGACCCUUGUCAGAAGAGACCUGAAAUGAUGGGAUUAGAGCUGUGAUGGUAUCUCAUGACUUAGUAUCUGGGGGACAGGGGAGAGUUUUGCAGGCUCCAGCCCAGGGUCCGCUACCACCCGGGGGGAGAUCAGCUAUCCCAAGUCACGUUGAUCAUCGACCAAAGGGAAGCGCUCAUAGCGCCAACCACAAUGAGGGUGAUGAUUCAUGGGAGGCCCUUGCACGAGUUGGGUGAAGACUCAGUGCUGUGAGCCGGGGGAUGUAACAUUACAAAGCUUACCUGAGAAGAGAUGAUCGGCACACAAGCAACAGAAGACCUUUUUCAGGGGCGUAAGAGCACACUUUUUGUUGCUGUUGCGUUCUAGUGGCUUGGUGCCCAGAGGAAUCUUUACGGAAUGGCUAGCUGGCCACAAGCGUAGCUCGUGCAAGUUAUGAUUGAAAAGAAACAUGGAAGUUUGUUGCCUUUGUUUUAUCUAAAUAGACUUAUGGUAACAAGAAUCGAUUUUAUUGUUGAAAUUCCUGCAGGAAAAACACUUUGCUACUGUUAGCUCAAAUCUAGCCCCUAUCAUCCUUCCCCCCGUUGAAAUAUUUGUUCCUAGAAUGAUGAUUUUCAUAAGAACAGCCUUUUAGGAGAAUGUGAUUAUUCUGUCAUAGCAGAGGAGAAUGCACUUACCACGAAGCAAAAGAGACUUCUAACUACUCCAUUGAAAGAGUAAACCAGUUGCCCAGGUGAUAACAGAAAGUCUUAAAUUGAUUCACUGGAAGAAAAUUAAACCAGACAAUACAGUUGUUACUAUUUGAUAAUCGGAAUCAAGGUUAUCUGUGACCUGGACAGAAACACAUUGAUUUGCUCUGUCUCUAGUGUAUAAACGGAGGCCACCCUGUGUAGACAGACAGUGGGUACUUCUGAGCUGCCCUGUGUGUGAGUGCUCAUCGCACAAGCAGAGUGUUCUCAGGGUCCUGGGGGCAAGUGAGAGUUUAGGACCAAGUGGAACUCCGACAUGUGACCUAACCUGGUCUCCCCUAAAAAUCAGCAGAAAGAAGGAUGCCUGAGCCUGCCUGGGAGAGAGCCCUUUGGAAUUGUCCUUACUGAUGGAUGAUAACUGGAUUAGAUGCUCCCCAAUUAAACCAGCUGAGCGCCAGCCCUCAGGCUUUGAGCCAGGCAAGACUUGUCUAGAAAUUCACUUUUCCAAUCUAGCUUUAACAAGAAAAGAAAUUUAUAAAUGGAGAUGUCAAAACAAUUGUAAAGGAAAAUGUCAAACGGAAAUUUAGAUAAUUCAGCUCCUUUAGUGGGAGUUCUAAAGCUGCAGAUAACAUGGUCCAAGCAAAGAGGGCUGGAGCCGAAUCGGACUUCACCAAGAUGAGUCAUUACUGCAAUUUCCAGAUCUACCACUCAUCCGAGAAAGCUCGUCAUGGAAAAGAGUGCUGCGCACACAGCCGGGCCCUUGGGGUCUACAUGGCCUCACCCAGCAAUACAUGCCGUGGUCUGAACUAUCAGGAUGUCUGCACAUUCCAGGACAGAUGACACGUGCCGUGAUCAAAGACACCAGAAGAAAGCAAAGAGCACAAGCAGACAAGGCGAUGGGCACUCCCAGAAGGCCUGAUGGCAAUCAUGUACUAAUGAGAGGGUCCAUGUGACUAGGAGUGACACACCAAGAGUGUCCUUCCUGAGAAGAGGCCUGAAAUGAUGAAAUUAUAGCCUCGGUGGUUGAAGGGAGGACAAAUUGGGCGCUUCUUAUUUUUCACGUAUGUCAAGUAUGCACAAGCAGUAGGUCUACAUGGAGCCAGCCAGGAUGUCUGAGAGUUUCAAAUACUUGAUGAUUGAAGGUUCUCCUAAAAUGUACACGCAGAAGAUAAAUGAGGGAAAGGUGGAGGGUCAAGGAGAGCCAAGGCAGUCUCGAGGAGAAAAACAAGGCUGGCAGAUGUGAUCCCCCGGCUCUCGAGACUUUGUAUAAAGCUGCCUCACUUACUAUCACGCACAUGGAAAGGCGGGCGGAUCGAUGGAACAGAACGGAGUGUGCAGAGGCAGAAGCACACAGGUGCGUGCUCCAGCUUGUGGCUCUGCAUCGGUCCUCCCAGGAGGCUUGGGCAGGAGGCACACAGUCGGAUCUCGCCACUGCCUGGGAGCCAGUGCCCCGCGAGCCAUGGCUCACACGGUCCCUCUGGGCCGUCCAGGCUUCUCUCGGACCAGCCCUUGGACAGGAUGUCCGCAGCCGUCGUAGGCCUACGCCCACCCAGAGGGAAGGGCAGGAUCCGGGGGCUUUCAGGAUGGGCACCUCCACCGCAGCCUAGGGGUGCUCAUUCCAUGGAGUCCCGUGGACUCCUUCUACCUGUGGGCUCCAUGUGGGACCUCCUGAAGCCAGAGACCUACAGCCCGAACUCAUCUCUCCAGAAAGAUCCCCUAGUUAGGCUCUAACACAGUCUGCGUCACCAGGUCAGGUAUCAUCGUAAAGCAACAAUAAAGGUUUGAGUAGAGGUAUAAUAUCCUGAUGCCACGCAUCUCUCCCACCUUCACAACGUUGUGGGCACCAUCAUCUUCCUUACAUUUCAGAUCCUUCUGGAAACCAGCCCAGCACUUCCUGUCACAGAGUAGUUUCCAGAGACUCUUUCUGGCGCUCACGCAAGCACUUUUUGCCUCUUUCCCCCACAAAUAUUUCCAGAGUACUCAUUAGAAAUGGAUUUAAAAACACCUUGGUGUUAGGAAGGACCUUCUCACUUGUCACCUACAUGGGAGGAGCUGGGUAAUGAUUACUUACUGAAGACAAACUUGCCCUCAAAUCAGAUAGUAAGACACUUGAGAAACCAAGCCAGAGCAACCAUGGCCAUUUCCCCAUUACCCCCACUAUGGACCAACAUGCUUCAGCUGUUCUUUGGAUUCACCAAGACAGGAGCCUCAUUUGAUCACAUCUCCUACGAAGAAAAAUUGAAUUAGAUCAAGUCACCUUCAAUCAUGCGCAUGAGAAGUGAGGAAGCCAAAUAUUUGCCCCCAAAAAAUUAAAAAACAAGAACCAGUAUGCUUUCUCUAACCAUGUGCAUGCCAGGCACACACUCAGAUGCUGUGCCAACUCCUAGCUAUGAUAGGAAUUCCAGUAUAUCACUGAUGUUUCUAGAUCCCCUCGUGGGGCAUGUCAUGCUCUUCUUGGAAAAUAAGAAAGCAUUGCAUUCAAAUUUUUUUUAAAAUAAAUUACAUAGCUGUUGUUGAUAGAAAUGAUAUAUUUUUAAGCAACUGUUUUCCUUACUUAGUAUUUCAUUAUCACUAUCUGCCUAAGUGUGCUUAAUAUUAACACCAGCGACGCAGCUUUUAUUGGAGGCCGCCACUUGUCGUCACCAGCCUCUGGGCAGCCGUGUGACCUCACAACCAUAAAAGCCCACUGCACACAAGGGAUUCGCAGGAUCUGGUUUCCAAGCCUAACCCAGAAAAGAAAUUCCUUCUGAAGAUGCUCACUUUUGUUUCCGAGAUAUUUGGAAGUCCUAUUUUUACAGUGGAGUUUCACUAAGCAUUAUGCUAAACUGCUCACCGCGUGCAAAGUGCCUCCUUUGGUAGCAGAUAGGGUGCCCCUGGCGAGAUAAGGUGGUCCCGCUCCCAGACACGGCAAUCUUCAAACCCUCACGAUGAUUGCAGCAGAUAAAAGCCUCUGAAAAGUGCCGUGUUGGCAGGAAUUUCCUCUGCAACCUGCAAAGGAAAAUCAAGUAAUAGUAACUUAAGAAAUGAAUAACCCAGGGCCACUGCGAGUCCCGGGUUCACCGCGAAUGUGAGACCCUCUCAACAACCACCCAGCGGGUAGCUCCAGGGGUGUGAUUCCCUUGCAUGCAUGAAACACCUACCGACCUACCACAGGCAGCUCCUACUGGGAAGUCCAUGUGACUUCUCCAGGCCAAGAAAAAAAAAGUCACUCUACUUACAAAGGAAACAGUAAGGCCCCUACCUUUUUUCCUGCAAGGUAAUAGUACAAUACAUCAUAUUAUGCAUGAGGCUUCCUAGACACUUGACAAGACUGAAGAUUCGUGUAACCAUUAACCUACAACAGUUUAGCUACAAAACACAAGCUCAAAGACUUUGAGAAGAUUUGAACUUCACGUAAAGUCCCCUGAACACCACUCCUUAGAGCUUUCAUGUUCAAAAUUAGAAAGGGGGGAGGGGGAAGAUUGGACAACUGAAUCAAUAAUAAAAAUUUGAUCACACUUUAAACAGAGAUCAUCUGUGUUUGCAUCCCCAGAUCCUUUAUCAGUAAUAUGUUGAUGCAUGUUUGAAAAUUUAUUAGAUGCUGUAAAACAAAUCAUUAAGCAGGAAGCAGUUCUGAGCCUCAGCGCUCUCUGACCCUUUGUAACCCUAUUAUAGCUCCGAAGUGUUUCUAACAAACAAAAGAGAAAUUAGCUCUUUUGUUCUCAGGACUGUCAAGCAGGUUAGUUCAUCUAACAUAGUCUUUUAUUAAUAAAUGGCACAGAUUUUCAUGCUAGCGUAGCUAAAGCAAAUCACAUCAUCGUCUGAAAAAGACAUACCUAUUAUUUUUCAGUGAUAUAUUGCUUUGCAGCUGUAGCCAAAACAAUCUAAUAAGCACUAUUAGAUAAAGGAUUCUGAAUAUGAAUGUAUUGAAUUUGUAGUGGAAGAAAAUGAACAUAUUGCAGCAUUUAUGUCAGAUUGGGUUAAGCUUGGGCAUCUCUUUCUCCUUAAUAAAUGCAGAUCAAAAGACUUCUCUUAUGUAAAAAAUAAUAAUACAAAUUUCAGCAAUAUGAAAUAACACAACCACUUUGUAAUGUUAGGAGGAAAUCAGUCAGCCAUGUGCUGUACGGAAUAUAAAUUAUUUUAGGAGGGCAAACAGAUCCUGUGAUGCUUUCUCCCAUACAUUUAUAUUCAUAAAAGGUUCCAAACGCCUAGAACAAUAGCAGUGAUCUAUUUGCCAUAAAGUAUUCCGGCAUUGGUGGUGUCUCUCAUGACAGCUUUGAUAGACAUGUACUAUAUAAGAAAAAUAUCUUCUAGCACUUGACUCGCUUAAUAAAUUGAUUAAACUUCUC